GUCGAGAAUCUUUCACAAUGGGGGCAACCCUGAUGGAGCGACGCCGCGUGGAGGAUAAGGUCUUCGGAUUGUAAACUCCUGUCAUGCGUGAACAAGGUUGCUUGGUUAAUACCUGGGCAAAUUGAUGGUAACGCAAGAGGAAGAGACGGCUAACUCUGUGCCAGCAGCCGCGGUAAUACAGAGGUCUCAAGCGUUGUUCGGAAUCACUGGGCGUAAAGGGUGCGUAGGUGGCGUGGUAAGUCAGAUGUGAAAGCCCGAGGCUCAACCUCGGAACUGCAUCCGAUACUACCAUGCUAGAGUACUGGAGAGGUGACUAGAAUUCUCGGUGUAGCAGUGAAAUGCGUAGAUAUCGAGAGGAAUACCAAAGGCGUAGGCAGGUCACUGGACAGUUACUGACACUGAGGCACGAAGGCCAGGGGAGCGAACGGGAUUAGAUACCCCAGUAGUCC
rnacentral:rRNA from 1 species